UCGUAGUCACUGUCGGUGGGGAGGAAGACUUCUGAGCAGGCUUCUUCAUCAGAGCAGGGCUGUGAAUCUGCGAAGCCAGAAACUGAGUUUGCCUGUAACUAGAUGUGUUGGAUGAGGUCAUGGAGCAACCUUGGAGACAGAAGCCACAUGCUAGGAUGGUGGGGCUGAAAAACAGAGCUUGUUGCCUGAAGACCAUUACGUCUGCAUAUCAACCUUGAAUUGUCUCCUUUUGAGCUUCUUUCACACAAGAGAGAAAGUAUCUUGUGUUUAUGACAUUCUUAUUUGGGUCUUUGGUAACACGAACCCAAAAUUUAUCCUAACCAAUAGGAGUAUGGUUAAAUAAAUUGUGGCGCAUCUGUAUAUGGAAUAUUAUCCAGCAGCUACAAAGGAUGAGAUACAUUUAUAUGUUCUUUAAAUAAUGGCUACCAAUAAAAGGAUUCCCUCUUC